rnacentral:tRNA from 1 species
UCCCUGGUGGCCCAGUGGUUAGGACUCUGCACUUUCACUGCAAAGGGCCUGGGUUUGAUCCCUGGUCAAGGAA